CCUACGGGAGGCAGCAGUGGGGAAUAUUGGGCAAUGGGCGCAAGCCUGACCCAGCAAUGCCGCGUGAAGGAAGAAGGCUUUCGGGUUGUAAACUUCUUUGACAGGGGAAGAGCAGAAGACGGUACCCUGAAAACAAGCCACGGCUAACUACGUGCCAGCAGCCGCGGUAAUACGGAGGAUGCGAGCGUUAUCCGGAUUUAUUGGGUUUAAAGGGUGCGCAGGCGGCGAGUUAAGUCAGCGGGAAAAUUUCGGGGCUCAACCCCGACGAGCCGUUGAAACUGGCUUGCUAGAGUGGGCGAGAAGUAUGCGGAAUGCGUGGUGUAGCGGUGAAAUGCAUAGAUAUCACGCAGAACUCCGAUUGCGAAGGCAGCAUACCGGCGCCCAACUGACGCUCAGGCACGAAAGCGUGGGUAUCGAACAGGAUUAGAUACCCUGGUAGUC
rnacentral:rRNA from 1 species